UUUGACACCAUUUCCAGACCACACCCCGUUCUGUUCCAUGUGGAUAUGAGGGAAGAUAUUUGAGAGGCUGGAAGAAGAACAGAGAGCAGAACCAGCAAACUCACAGCUCUCUCUCUCUCUCUCUCUCUCUCUCUCUCUCUCUCUCUGAAACCAAUCCCAAUGUUGCAGUCUCAACAAUUUCUCUCUCGCAGCUUCCCCUUCUUUCUGUCUCAUCCCCACAACCCCUCUCUCUCUCCUCACUCUCUCAACUUUCUCUACAGACACAACAGUAUUACACUGCCCCCCAAUUCUGUCCAAAUUCGGACCGGUAACGAACCAAUGCUCGCCCAAACCUCCGAGCCCGCCGCUGACGGACCGGAGGACGGACCCAUCGAGAUCCCGCCGUCGGUUCCCUCCAUCUUCGCCGACUCCGACAACCCUUCGCCUCUGCAAGUCUCCACCAGCUUGCUCCUCACCGGCGCCAUCUCCGUCUUCCUCUUUCGCUCGCUCCGUCGCCGCGCAAAGCGCGCCAAAGAACUGAAAUUUAGGUCUUCUGGGGCGAAGAAAUCGUUGAAGGAGGAGGCGAUGGAGAGUCUAAAAGUGAUGACUCCGGCUCCGCCUAAAGGUAAGGGUCCUCCGUCGCCGGUUCAGGCGCUGCUAGGCGGGUUGUCGGCCGGUGUCAUUGCUCUGAUUCUAUACAAGUUCACUACCACCAUUGAAGCCUCUCUCAAUCGACAAACGCUUUCGGAUAAUUUCUCGGUUCGGCAAAUCACGAUAACAAUAAGGACAAUUGUGAAUGGUUUGUGCUACCUUGCAACAUUUGUUUUUGGCAUAAAUUCUGUAGGUUUAUUUUUGUACUCAGCUCAGCUUGCCCUCAACUCCUUCAUGGAUGAUUCUUCAAGUAAAAACACUGAGAAUAAUGGUGAAGCACAAUUAAGUUCAAAUCAAACAACCAAAGCCCCCACAGAAAGCUUUGAAACGGGCAGCAGUAAUGAGGAUCAAAAUUCAGGCGGUGUGCAAUGAUGGAGAAAUGAACAAAAUCAAAUUGAAGGAACAGGUUUCAAUUCCUUUGACCCAAUUGUAUGGAAUUGGGGUAAAGCUGGAAAAGAUGCCUGUCAGCAUUGUAUGAUCUGAAAGAUAAUGUUUGGCAUUAAAUGGAUGGGUUAAAAUUGGUGACUCCCCCACCAUGUGUUCACUAAAGCCGAAGAUACAGUUUCCUUUCCGUCUUGUUUUGAGUUCUCAAUCUCAGCAGCUUUGCACAACGCAUACCCCAGGGCCUGGACAAACAAGACUGGAAUCUCUGUAAAAGAUGAGGGAGAGAGAGAGAUCCCCCACUUUGUGCCAUGACACUCAUAAAGUUUCUAAAUAUAGAGGUGAGGUGACCCUUUUGAGCAUGACUUGAUGCCAUUGCCAGGGUUUCUAUGGAAGACAACACACUUGAUCAAAUUUGUAAUUGAAUUUGAAAGAAAAGCUUAACCUUGAGCUUUGUUUUGGAGGGAUUUUAUAAUGAAAUGGAAGAAAGUGGGUUAGUAAUAGCAAAUAA